GGGAGGUCCAGGUUCCUUAAUUGCAUCAGGUGUCCAGAGCAGAGCUGCUGCUAGCAUAGCAUGGAGGCCUCGGCCGGGAAGCACUCCAUCAGGCUUAAAAAUGUCUCACAGGAAGUCACCGUAACCACCCAAAGAUGAGAGGACUGCCACAAAAAUAAUCUGUACAUUAGCUGUAUGUUAGCUUAGCAUUGAGCAUCACACACCGUAGCUUACAGCCUGUUAGCUUAGUAAGCAAAUGAAAACUGACUGCAGCUUUAAAGCUACUGCAAAUGCAGAUAUUUGAACCUUGAACAGUGAUCCGUGAAGGUGCUGCGUCACACAUCAGCUCUGACCGGGCAGGAAGGCGGUCAGGGUUUUCGGAGAGCCAGAGCCAGAGUCCGAAGGGCUUCAUCAGGGUUGUCUGCGGUAGUCGGUCAUUGGAAAGGGCCAAACGGAGGAGCCAGUCAGGGAUCUCAGGAUGUGGUCAUGGAAGAUGGGUCAUUCCACAUGGCCGCCACGUCUCUGAACCUGAAGGGGGAUCAUUGGAAAUCCAUACUGUACCUCAAGCAUCACCACACAUAUCUGUUUGACACACUGGAUGAUGGCUUCGGGGGCCCCUGAGAUCGUCACUGCUCUCUCGGUGGAGUUGGGGAGCAUGUCACCCGCAACCUGGACCUGAGCACCUGUGGACUAAAAAUGAGAAUGUUUGUUUAUUAAAUGGGGAAAUAUAAAUAAAGCAUAUGUACAGUGGCCGAGACGGUUCAACACAAUUGCAUUUGUGUUGUAACGUUUGCAUUUCUGUUGAACCGUCUCGGCCACCGUACAUAUGAGAUUAUGCAGGAUUUAAAACUAAAAUGCACACUAUGUGAAUGAUAAAAAGGAGAUGUGCAAUGACUCAUGGCUGCACCAUUAAUAAAAAGUAUUCUGGUUGGUGAACUCCCUCCAAAA